rnacentral:rRNA from 1 species
CGACCGGCGCACGGGUGAGUAACACGUAUGGAACCUGCCCUAUGCAGGGGGAUAAGCGGAAGAAAUUCCGUCUAAUACCGCAUAACACCUUUAGGAGACAUCUUCUUGGGGUCAAAGGAGGCGACUCCGGCAUAGGAUGGCCAUGCGUCGCAUUAGCUAGUCGGCGGGGUAACGGCCCACCGAGGCGACGAUGCGUAGGGGUUCUGAGAGGAAGGUCCCCCACACUGGUACUGAGACACGGACCAGACUCCUACGGGAGGCAGCAG